rnacentral:rRNA from 1 species
CGGACGGGUGAGUAACGCGUGGGGAACCUGCCCUGUACCGGGGGAUAGCAGCCGGAAACGGCUGAUAAUACCGCAUAAGCGCACGAAUGUCGCAUGACAUGGUGUGAAAAACUCCGGUGGUAUAGGAUGGACCCGCGUCUGAUUAGCCAGUUGGUGGGGUAAAAGCCUACCAAAGCGAAGAUCAGUAGCCGAGUUGAGAGACUGACCGGCCACAUUGGGACUGAGACACGGCCCAGACUCCUACGGGAGGCAGCAGCA